AGCAGCCGCGGUAAUUCCAGCUCCAAUAGCGUAUAUUAAAGUUGUUGCAGUUAAAAAGCUCGUAGUUGAAUUUCGGGACCAGUAUGUUGGUCGUGCUUCGGUACGUACUGUCAUUACUGGUUUCUCCCUUCUGAAGAACCUUGAUGUCAUUAAUUUGGUGUCUUGGGGAAUCAGGACUGUUACUUUGAAAAAUUAGAGUGUUUAAAGCAGGCAUACGCUUGAAUACAUUAGCAUGGAAUAAUGAAAUAGGACGUUUGAUUCUAUUUUGUUGGUUUCUAGGAUCGACGUAAUGAUUAAUAGGGAUAGUUGGGGGCAUUAGUAUUCAAUUGUCAGAGGUGAAAUUCUUGGAUUUAUUGAAGACUAACUACUGCGAAAGCAUUUGCCAAGGAUGUUUUCAUUAA
rnacentral:rRNA from 1 species